rnacentral:sRNA from 1 species
AUGAUUGAUGCUAUUGAUGAAACUACUGUAGCUCCGGAUCAGUUCUUGAAGGAUUCCUCAGGUAAUUUUACAACUGAAAUCAAUCCUGUAUUUCUCACUUGGAAGAGUCGAGAACAGGCCUUGUUUACAUUUCUCAACUCCACACUUUCUCCUUCUGUUCUUGCUCUCACCGUAGGGCAGAAAUCUGGUAGAGGUGUUUGGAGAGUUCUGGAAAAACGAUUUGCUUCAAUUUCUAGGUCAGCUUUCAUGGCGUCUGUAACUACAAAUUCAUCUUCAACCUCAUCUUCCACUUCAACCACAGUACCUACAAUGGUUAAUUCCAUUACUCACAUCAAUCCCUCACUGUUACUACUGUCAAACAUGUCAUCCAUGGUGACUGUAAAACUAGAUUUCUCAAAUUUUAUUGUUUGGAAGCAUCAAAUAGAGGUAAUCUUGGAGACUUACUCUAUGAUUGAUGCUAUUGAUGAAACUACUGUAGCUCCGGAUCAGUUCUUGAAGGAUUCCUCAGGUAAUUUUACAACUGAAAUCAAUCCUGCAUUUCUCACUUGGAAGAGUCGAGAACAGGCCUUGUUUACAUUUCUCAACUCCACACUUUCUCCUUCGGUUCUUGCUCUCACCGUAGGGCAGAAAUCUGGUAGAGGUGUUUGGAAAGUUCUGGAAAAACGAUUUGCCUCAAUUUCUAGGUCUAGUGUGAUGAGCCUUAGAAACGAAUUGAAUGCAGUGAAGAAAGGAUCAGACUCCAUUGAUGUGUAUUUCCAGAAAAUCAAGCAAAUUCGUGACAGACUUGCUAUUGUAUCAGUUGUUCUUGAUGAUGAAGAUUUGCUUCAUGUUGCUCUUGAUGGUCUACCAUCAGAGUAUGAUUCAUUUAGUUCUGCUAUAAGAACUCGAAGUGAUGUUAUUUCAAUUGAAGAACUUAAUAUCCUCCUUAAUGCUGAAGAGAGGGCUAUCAAGAAGAGGUCUGGUCUAAUUGAUACUACUUCCAUGGCUAUGGCUGCAAAUUAUCAAUCUCAAGGGUUUCAUAGAGGUAGAGGCAGGUACAAUAAUCAUAGAGGCCGUGGAGGUGGUGGUAGAGGAAAUUUCAGUGGAGGAAAUUUCAGUGGUGGUUCUUCAAAUGGUCCUUUCAAUCACACUCCUCCUCAGUUCAAUCAACCUCAAUCUGCUCAAGCAAGACCUCCAGGGUUUCAGCAAAGCUUUCAGGGCCAGAAUCAGAGACCACAGUGUCAAAUUUGUGGAAAGAAUGGACAUGGAGCUCUUGAUUGUUAUCACCGGAUGGAUUUUUCUUUUCAAGGCAAGCAUGCUCCAUCAAGGCUUGCUGCAAUGGUGGCUAAUUCUGCUCAGGUUCAUGGAGCUAAUGGUUGGCUUACAGAUACUGGGUGUUCUGAUCAUGUGACACCUGAUCUUGCUCAUCUUUCCUUGCAACAACAACCUACUUCAGGUACUGAAACUGUGACUGUUGGAAAUGGCCAAGAGUUGCCUGUUACUCAUAUUGGCAAUGGUGAGUUGUCUACUCCUUCUCAUACUUUUAAGCUUGAUGGUAUACUUAGGGUUCCUGACCUUUCUUCCAAUCUUUUGUCUGUCCAUAAACUUUGUUUACAAAACAAUGCAUUCUGCUAUUUUGAUGCUUAUAGAUUCUCUAUCCAGGAUUUAAUUUCAGGGAAGAUCCUUUACGAAGGAUUGAGUAAGGAUGGUGUCUAUCCUAUUCCUGCAUCAUCAUCCCUGUCCUCCAAUUCACCCAUUUCCACUGCUUACACUUCUUCUCAAGUUCAUCCUACUUCAUCUGUUGUGUCUUCAGCUACUUCUGCUCAAAUUUCACUUUGGCACAAAAGACUUGGACAUCCUAGUGCAAAACUUCUCCAUUCUGCUAUUCAACCUGUAAAUCUUGCUUUUACUUUCAAUAAGAUUGAUAAAUGUUGCUCUUCUUGUACAUCUUGUAUUAGUGCAAAGAUGCACAGAUUUCCUUUGAAUAAACAAGAUAUUCAAUCCAAUUCUAUGCUUCAAAUUGUGCACUCUGAUGUUUGGGGUCCUGCUCCCAUUUCCUCUUUAUUUGGUUACUCUUACUAUGUGGUAUUCAUUGAUGAUUACACUAGAUAUACCUGGUUCUUUUUACUCAAACAGAAAUCUGAGUUGUUUGCUGUGUUUAAGCACUUUAAAAAUUUGGUUGAGACUCAAUAUUCUGCUAAAAUUAAGAUUCUUAGGUCUGAUAAUGGCAAGGAAUACCUUAAUUCUCAGUUUCAACAACUUUGUUCUGAUAAUGGUAUUGUUCAUCAAACUUCAUGUCCUUAUGUUCCUCAACAAAAUGGUGUCUCAGAAAGGAAACAUAGGCACAUUGUGGAGACUGGUUUAGCUUUGCUGUAUCAGUCUCACUUACCUCUAAAUUUUUGGUCCUAUGCUUUUUCCACUGCAUCAUUUCUCAUUAAUAGGUUGCCAUCAUCUGCUCUUGGGUUUAUUUCUCCUUGGGAGAUGGUCAAUUCUGUUUCUCCACCUUUGUCAGCUCUUAGGACAUUUGGGUGUGCCUGCUAUCCCUACCUUAGACCCUACAAUAAACAUAAGCUUCAGCCUAGGUCUAUAGAAUGUGUGUUUCUCGGGUAUCCUCCUUUGUCCAAAGGGUAUUUGUGCUUAGACCCUACUACAAACAAAAUAUACACUACAUGUUAUGCUUUAUUCAAUGAAACUGUUUUUCCAUUUGCUGAUAGGCCUAACCUCACCACUCCCAAUGUUCCUUUCUCUACUUCCAUUUCAGCUUCUGCCUGGUUUUCUGUCAAGUCCAAUGUGUCAAGUUCUUCUUCUUCUACUGCUCCAUCCUCUUCUUCCUCUCCCUUGUCUACCUUUCCUGAUUCCUUUCCUUUUGCUUUUCUUCAAUCUGACUUGUGCUCAUCUGAUUCCAAUUCCUCUUCCUCUUCUAGUCCUUCCUCUGUUCCUGCUCUCCCUGUGUCUGUCUCACCUGAGUUAUCCUCUUCUAUUCCUGUUAAUAAUCAUCCCAUGGUUACAAGGUCAAAACUAGGUAUCCACAAGCCUAAGGUUCUUAAGGUGGGCACUGAUUACACCUUUCAGGAGCCUCCAUACUUUGCUGUGGCUGUUAAGCACCCUCACUGGAAGGCUGCUAUGGAUUCUGAGUUUAAUUCUUUACUGAAGCAGCAGACUUGGUCUCUUGUACCACCUCCUGCAAACAAGAAUAUUGUGACUUGUAAGUGGGUUUAUAAACUUAAAAGGCACAGUGAUGGUUCUAUUGCUAGAUACAAGGCCAGGUUAGUGGCUAGGGGGUACCUUCAGCAAUAUGGGUUGGAUUAUGAGGAAACCUUUAGCCCUGUGGUCAAACCUACCACUGUCAGAUUGUUGCUUGCUCUUGCUGUGAACUAUGGUUGGUCUCUCAGGCAGUUGGAUGUAAGCAAUGCCUUCCUUCAUGGUAUUCUCAAGGAAGAAGUUUAUAUGGCUCAACCACAAGGUUAUGAGGAUCCUUCCUAUCCUAAUCAUGUUUGCCUUUUACAUAAGGCUUUGUAUGGACUGAAACAGGCUCCAAGGGCCUGGUUUGAGAGGUUUAGCUCUCAGUUACUUCAUCUUGGUUUUGUUGCCUCUAGUGCUGAUGGGAAUUUGUUCAUUUAUAAUCAUGAUUCUCAUUUGGUCUUUCUCCUACUUUAUGUGGAUGAUAUCAUAGUCACUGGUAAUCAUGGUGCUUUUAUUACAUCUCUCCUUGCUGUGUUGGGUACUGAUUUUGAUCUCAAGGACUUAGGCAGGUUGCAUUAUUUCUUGGGGCUUCAAAUAGACUAUACACCUAGUGGUCUCUUUGUUCAUCAGACUAAGUAUACUUUGGAUUUGCUGAAUAAGUUUUCCAUGUCUGACUGCAAGCCUUGCAAGACUCCUUGCUCUCCUAAUGCUCAUCUUCUAGCCAAUGAUAGUCCUUUGCUGCAAGAUCCUACCAUUUAUAGAAGCAUGGUGGGUGCUUUACAGUAUCUGACUUUCACUAGACCUGACAUCUCCUUUGCAGUCCAACAGGCUUGUCAAUUCAUGAGUAGUCCUACUUCUAAUCACCUUCAGGCAGCUAAGAGAAUUUUGAGGUAUUUACAAGGCUCAAUUCAUCAAGGUUUGGCAUUUACACCUGGUCCAUUGGUCCUUUCUGCCUACAGUGAUGCAGACUGGGCCGGUGAUCCUAUGGAUCGCAAGUCCAUCUCUGGUAUUUUAGUGUUUCUUGGUAAUUCUCCAAUCACCUGGUCUGCCAAGAAGCAAUCUACAGUCUCUCGUUCUUCCACUGAGGCAGAGUAUAGAGCUCUAGCUUCCUGUGCUGCUGAGGUCUGUUGGAUUAGAAUGCUUCUCAAGGAUCUUGGUGUUUUCCUGUCUGAUCCUCCUGUAUUGUGGUGUGAUAACGUAUCAGCCCUUGCUAUUGCUUCUAAUCCUGUUUUUCACGCCCGUACAAAGCAUAUAGAAGUGGACUUCCACUUUGUUCGAGAGAGAGUUCUGAGGCAUGAUCUUCUGGUUAAGUUUGUUGCCUCUCAAGAUCAAUUAGCUGAUGUUCUGACCAAGGGUCUGGCUUCUCCUCGUUUUCAGUGGCUGACUUCCAAACUCAUGUGGCAAUUUCCCAUGAGCUUGAGGGGGGAUGAAGAGUGUAAGAUAGCAGAGGAUGAAGUUCUCCCUGGUGAUGAAGACAAAGAACCUUCAGAUGCUCUCAGACUUGCAAAAGGCAAGAUGAAAACGGUGUCGUAG